ACGGGUGAGUAAUGUCUGGGAAACUGCCUGAUGGAGGAGGAUAACUACUGGAAACGGUAGCUAAUACCGCAUAAUGUCGCAAGACCAAAGAGGGGGACCUUCGGGCCUCUUGCCAUCGGAUGUGCCCAGAUGGGAUUAGCUUGUUGGUGGGGUAACGGCUCACCAAGGCGACGAUCCCUAGCUGGUCUGAGAGGAUGACCAGCCACACUGGAACUGAGACACGGUCCAGACUCCUACGGGAGGCAGCAUG
rnacentral:rRNA from 1 species